GGGCCGGCGACACCCGGAGCCGCCCCGCCCGCAGCCGCUGGCGCAGCCCCGGGGGGAACGGGCGGCGGGAGGAGCCCCCGGAGGGACCCCCCCGGCUCCACCGGAGCCCCCGCAGGGAUCCCCCGGCUCCACCGGAGCCCCCCCGGAGCCGCCGCCCGCCAUGGAGGGCCCCGCCGCGGGCAGGAAGGACCCGGACGGCGCUUACGGGACGCCGCAAAAAUACGACCCGACUUUCAAAGGUCCCAUCUACGACAGGGGCUGCACCGACGUUGUCUGCUGCGUCCUGCUGGUCGUCGCCAUCGUGGGCUACGUGGUGGUGGGCGUCGUGGCCUGGACCCACGGCGACCCCCGGAAGGUGAUCUACCCGACCGACAGUCGCGGGCAGUUCUGCGGGCAGCAGGGAACCCCCAACGAGAAUAAACCUUUCCUCUUUUAUUUCGACAUCGUGAAGUGUGCCAGCCCGCUGGUGCUGCUGGAAUUUCAGUGCCCGACCACGCAGAUCUGCGUCAGCCAAUGCCCGAACCGGUACCUGACGUACCUGAACGCCCACGGCUCCCGCGCGCCCGGCGAGCUCGAGUACUACCGGCAGUUCUGCGUCCCCGAGUUCAAAAACCUGCAGAAGGCUCCCAUCCAGGUGUUGACGGACAAGGAGUGCCCGGCCAUGAUUAUCCCCAGCACCCCACUGGCGCGGCGAUGCCUCCCGGCCAUCCGGGCCAAGAAGGGCGUCAUCAUGGUCGGCAACGAGACCACCUACGACGACGGCCGCGGGGGCCGGAGGAACGUCACCGAGCUGCUGGAAGGGGCCAAAAAAGCAAACGUGGUUCUGGAAACCAGACAGCUGGCCAUGAAGAUCUUUGAAGAUUACACGGUUUCCUGGUACUGGAUAAUCAUAGGCCUCGUGAUCGCGAUGGUGGCCAGCCUCAUCUUCAUCGUCCUGCUCCGCUUCCUGGCCGGGAUCAUGGUCUGGGUGAUGAUCGUGAUGGUGAUCCUGGUGCUGGGCUACGGAAUCUUCCACUGUUACAUGGAAUACGCAAAAUUAAAAGGGGAAGCGGGUUCCGACGUCUCCCUGAAGGACCUGGGAUUUCAGACAGACCUACGCGUCUACCUCCACCUGCGGCAGACGUGGCUGGCGUUCAUGAUCAUCCUCUGCGUCGUGGAGGUGGUGAUCAUACUGCUGCUCAUCUUCCUCCGCAAGAGGAUCCUCAUUGCCAUCGCGCUCAUCAAGGAGGCCAGCAGGGCUGUUGGUCACGUCAUGAUGUCGCUGCUGUUUCCGUUGUGCACCUUCUUCCUGCUGUGCCUUUGCAUCGCCUACUGGGCCAGCACCGCCGUCUUCCUCUCCACCUCCAACGAGGCCAUCUAUAAGGUGUUCAGCGAGACUCCCUGCCAGUUUUCCGGGCAGACCUGCACACCAGAGACCUUCAACACGAGCAACGUCACCAAGCUGUGCCGCGACGCCCAGUGCCUCUUCGCGUUCUACGGGGGAGAGACGGCCUACCACAAGUAUCUCAUCGUCCUCCAGUUCUUCAACGUCUUCAUGUUCUUCUGGCUCGCCAACUUCAUCAUCGCGCUGGGCCAGGUGACGCUGGCAGGGGCCUUCGCGUCGUACUACUGGGCCUUCAAGAAACCCGAUGACAUGCCCGCCUUCCCCCUCUUCUCCGCCUUCAGCCGCGCGCUCCGGUACCACACGGGCUCGCUCGCCUUCGGCUCCCUGAUCCUCGCCAUCGUCCAAGUCAUCAGGGUCGCUCUGGAGUACCUGGACCACAGGUUAAAAGCUGCAGAUAAUAAGUUUGCCAAGUUCCUCCUGAGCUGCCUGAAGUGCUGCUUCUGGUGCCUGGAAAAAUUCAUCAAAUUCCUCAACAGAAACGCGUACAUCAUGAUUGCCAUCUACGGCACCAACUUCUGCACCUCUGCUAGGAACGCGUUCUUCCUGCUGAUGAGGAACAUCAUCAGGGUGGCUGUUUUAGAUAAAGUCACGGAUUUCCUCUUCUUCCUCGGCAAACUCCUCAUUGUGGGAAGCGUCGGAAUCCUCGCCUUCUUUUUCUUCACCCAGCGGAUAAAGCUGGUCCAAGACACGGCGCCGUCCCUGAAUUACUACUGGGUCCCUAUUCUGACGGUGAUCGUGGGCUCCUACCUCAUCGCCCACGGGUUCUUCAGCGUGUACGGCAUGUGCGUGGACACCCUCUUCCUCUGCUUCUUGGAAGACCUGGAGCGGAACGACGGCUCGGCCGAAAAGCCUUACUUUAUGUCGCCCGACCUGAAAAAGCUCCUGAAGAAGACGAACAAAGGUCAGCCGGACGCCUAGAGCCUGCCCUCGCCCGUCCCGCGCUUCCUCUUCCCAUCCCGGCGCCGGGAGCAGAGCUGCGGGAUCAGGCCUGGCGCUCAGCAUCGUUUGCCCCACGUGGAAAUCUCGUUCACGACCCCAAACUGCCACCUCCUUCCCCCGCCCCCGCGGCAGGCAAGCGGCGGAGGGGGGGGUUCGCUGGAGAGAGGAAUGGGUUAUCGUUAACGAUUUCACCUUAAAUCGUCGGGGUCGCUCGAGGAAGAGCGCUCUAGCGCGUCCGCUUCCGCCCAACGCGUCGCGGCUAACGUCCCGCCGGCUCAGAUCCGGAGCUGGGGAUCUCCCGGCCCAACCGGGCGCCGGCAGCGGCGGGGAAACGUCUCCGACGCACAGGGCAAAGUUCCCUCGAUCCGGGGUGUCGAGAGACACCGAAACGAGAUUAAUUGGAUUUACACCAUUUUAUUUGAUACCGGUAAAAAAAAAAGAGGAAAAAAACCCAACCAGAUGGCCUUCCCUUCGGGCCAGCCGCGUCCGUCCCGCGGCGCUUGGCUAAACCCAGGCUUAGCGACCAGCUGCGGGGUUUAAGCGGCUCCUCGGCUUGGUUUUUAUUUGUGCCCCCCUCCGAAUAUCGCGUUGCAGUUGUUGGUUCUUACCCAGCGAGCUGAAACGCGCUGAAAUCGCCUUCCUCCUCGCGCCACCUUCUGGAGACGCCUCAGGGCCCGGCUCCGGGGUUGCGCUGAGCGCUAAAUCGUUAGGAAAACGCAAAUUGAUUAGUUUGAGAAGGGCGAAGGCGGAGGGAAACGAGGGGCUAAUGAGCAGGGCUUGGGUGUUAGGGCCGGGUAUCCCACCGAACCGCGUCUGGACGCAAGCCCAUACGGACAGACGGACGCUCUGUACAGUUAUUGCAUCUCUCUAGGACCGACAGCUUCUAGCGCUUCCUCCCCCCAGAGAAUCCUGCAUUAUCUAUUACAAAAAGAUAAUAAUUUACAGUGAAGCCUUCCCUAACUGUCGAACAAAACGCUUUGCUCGUGGGAUGAGUUUAGGACGACCUGCUUGGGAAAGAAGUAAUGUAUAUAUGUGUUUUGGGGGGGGGGUUUAGGUUAAUAUUAGGUAAUUUUAAGCAAACCAAAUGACAAACAACAGGUUGCCUUACAUCCACAGAUGCCGCGGUGUCGCCUGGGCUUGGAGCCGACGGCUGAGGGGAAGGUCCAGGCUUUUGGCAGCUCCUGUCAGGAGAGAAAGGGGGGGGGGGGGGGCGAGAAAGAAAUUAAAAGGGGUUAAAAAUCAUUAGAAGGCAAAAAAUUACCAAAAUUAAAGCACCUCCUCUGACAGGCGCAGCUGCCGAAGCGUCCCUGGGCAAGAGGAAGCUCGCCCGGGUCUAGUCCCCACCGCAAACUGUGCUUUUUUUUUUUUUUGGGGUGGUUUAAGUUGUUUAAGAGUAAAGGCACUGAGGCUUUGGCGGAGGAUGAAGCGGCUGCCGGAGCGCGGGGGGGCAGCGGCGGCUCCCGGGGUCACGCGCCCCUCCCUGCCUUAAAACACGCAGACCCUCUAUCGCAAACGUUUGCUUAGCCACCGUUAAUUUGUGCCGAAGGAUCUAUUUUGCUGCUUUUUAUACCUAUUUUUUAGUAAUCUUUAGAUCCCUGUAGUAUUUUUGUAAGAUACAAGGAAUGUUUUCUAUCCGAACUAUUAAGUGGUUUUGGGGGUUUUGUAUAUUUUGCUUUUAAUAGCCGUUUCAGUUCCGUAGCCGCGAUUUCGGUCCCUUCCACUUUUAUUUUUGGGACUGAUUUUGAAACACCUACCCGGCAGCGCGCGGAGACGGAGCCGCUCUGGGCCGGGGCGGCAUCGCCGGCGUCUGCGCAAAGGCGCUCGCUGGAGCCAAGCGCCGUCGCUUCUCUGAAGCGCCUUCUAUUUCCCGGCAUCUCGAAGUAGCCGAUCCGACGCUUGGGGGGAGAGCUGGAAAGAAAAGGGGGAGGUAAAGCUGAAAAACCGUGAAGGUGAAGCUAAAAAGGGGAAGUUUAAGCUAAAAAACCAUGAAGGUAAAGCUAAAAGGGCGAAGGUAGAGCUAAAAAGAGGAGAAUCCUGUCGGUUUGGGAUAGGGGUAAGUGGGAAUAAUUAUUAAGGGAAUAAUUAAGGGAAUCUUUGCCAUUUCCAGCUAUCCUAGCACGUACAAGAGCAUAUUUUCUGCAGCCUGAUGCCAUUUCUGAGUGACUUAUUUCUCUCCUCUCCCAUCCUUGGGUAGGUUUUGAGGUGGUUUGUUUUAUUUCCUGUUUGAAAUCUUGGUGUAGAGGGUAAGUUUUACUCGGGCUCCUCAGCUUCGGCCGUUCCCUUCCUGUGUCCAGACACUUUGGUUGUGGAAAUGCUGCCCAAAAUAGCGGGGAAGCAGCGGGAGCUCCGUUCAUUCGCAUAAACAGCCCAUAAGCAGUAGAGAUUAUUUAGGUCUGGAAAUAGAAAUGUUGAAAUAAAAGAAUAAAUCCA